rnacentral:rRNA from 1 species
UACGGGGGGGGCUAGCGUUGUUCGGAAUUACUGGGCGUAAAGCGUGCGCAGGCGGUUUUGUAAGACAGAGGUGAAAUCCCCGGGCUCAACCUGGGAACUGCCUUUGUGACUGCAAGGCUUGAGUGCGGCAGAGGGGGAUGGAAUUCCGCGUGUAGCAGUGAAAUGCGUAGAUAUGCGGAGGAACACCGAUGGCGAAGGCAAUCCCCUGGGCCUGCACUGACGCUCAUGCACGAAAGCGUGGGGAGCAAACAGG